CCUGGUUGAUCCUGCCAGUAGUCAUAUGCUUGUCUCAAAGAUUAAGCCAUGCAUGUCUAAGAAUAAGCCCUAGAACGGUGAAUCUGCGAAUGGCUCAUUAAAUCAGUUAUUGUUUAUUUGAUGAUAUCUUACUACUUGGAUAACCGUAGUAAUUCUAGAGCUAAUACAUGCUUCAAACCCUGACUUCGGAAUGGGUGCAUUCAUUAGAUUUAAACCAUCGGGUGCUCUUUACGGGGUACUCUUUGAUGGCGAGUCAUAAUAACUGAGCGAAUCGAACUGGUCUUUACGACUGUCGAUGCUUCAUUCAAAUUUCUGCCCUAUCAGCUUUCGAUGGUAGGAUCUUGGCCUACCAUGGCGAUAACGGGUAACGGGGAAUUAGGGUUCGAUUCCGGAGAGGGAGCUUGAGAAACGGCUACCACAUCCAAGGAUGGCAGCAGGCGCGCAAAUUACCCAAUCCCGACACGGAGAGGUAGUGACAAUACAUAACAAUGCUGGAUUAUUUUUAGUCCGGCAAUUGGAAUGAGAGUAAUUUAAACCAAUUCUCGAGGAGCCAUUGGAGGGCAAGUCUGGUGCCAGCAGCCGCGGUAAUUCCAGCUCCAAUAGCGUAUAUUAAAGUUGUUGCAGUUAAAAAGCUCGUAGUCUAAACUUUGGUUGGCAUCUUUCCUGUGUCCGUGGCGUUUUUGAGCUCUGGACUUGGCUUUCGGGUUGAGUUUGGAUGUCUCGUUUAUGUCGUGUAUAUACGGAAUGUCAACCUACCUCCCUUUUAUGGAGGGUACUUCAGAGGAGAGUUGGUGCUUUUAAUUAAGUGCCUUCAGGAUUCUGAUUGUUUACUUUGAGAAAAAUAGAGUGUUCAAAGCAGGCGUUAAUUGCACAUUUUGAAUACAUUAGCAUGGGAUAAUGAAAUAGGACAUUGGUUCUAUUUUGGUGGUCUUUAAGGACCGAUGUAAUGAUUAAUAGGGACAGUUGGGGACAUUCAUACUCCAUGGCUAGAGGUGAAAUUCUUGAUUCAUGGAAGAUGAACUACUGCGAAAGCAUUUGUCAAAGAUGUUUUCAUUGAUCAAGAACGAAAGUUAGGGGAGCAAAGACGAUCAGAUACCGUCGUAGUCUUAACCAUAAACGAUGCCGACUAGGGAUCAGCGGGCGUUAGUUUUAAUGACUCCGUUGGCACCUCCUUCCAUGGGAAACCUUUAAGUCUUUGGGUUCCGGGGGGAGUAUGGUCGCAAGGCUGAAACUUAAAGGAAUUGACGGAACAGCACACAAGAAGUGGAGCCUGCGGCUUAAUUUGACCCAACACGGGAAAACUCACCAGGUCAGACAUAGUAAGGAUUGACAGUUUGAGAGCACUUUCUUGAUUCUAUGAAAGGUAGCGCAUGGCCGUUCUUAGUUGGUGGAGUGAUUUGUCUGGUUAAUUCCGAUAACGAACGAGACCUCAACCUGCUAAAUAGUUGUGCAAAGUUGCUGG
rnacentral:rRNA from 1 species